rfam:Stegodyphus mimosarum contig10957, whole genome shotgun sequence.
GCCUUCGUGGUAAAGUGGUCAGCACGCUGGAUGCGUGUUCCAGAGGUCCGUGGUUCGAGUCCCGGCGAAGGCG